GGCGGACGGGUGAGUAACACGUUAGUACCUGCCCUUUAGUGGGGAAUAACCCGGCGAAAGGUCGGGCUAAUACCGCAUGUGAUCGUUUACGAUUAAAGACUUCGGUUGCUAAAGGAGGGGCUUGCGUCUGAUUAGCUAGUUGGUAGGGUAAAGGCCUACCAAGGCGAUGAUCAGUAGCUGGUUCGAGAGGAUGACCAGCCACACUGGGACUGAGAUACGGCCCAGACUCCUACGGGAGGCAGCAGUAAGGAAUCUUCCGCAAUGGACGAAAGUCUGACGGAGCAACGCCGGGUGCAGGAUGACGGCCUUCGGGUUGUAAACUGCUUUUAAUUUGGGAAGAUUAUGACGGUACCAAUUGAAUAAGGACCGGCUAACUACGUGCCAGC
rnacentral:rRNA from 1 species